rnacentral:rRNA from 1 species
GGAGUCUGGACCGUAUCUCAGUUCCAAUGUGGCCGUUCAACCUCUCAGUCCGGCUACUGAUCGUCGACUUGGUAGGCCGUUACCCUGCCAACUAUCUAAUCAGACGCGAGCCCAUCUUGAAGCGUCGGAGCUUUGGUAUGUCGACCAUGCGAUCAUCAUACGUUAUGCGGUAUUAGCACAAGUUUCCCUGUGUUAUCCCCCUCUUCAAGGCAGGUUGCUCACGCGUUACUCACCCGUCCGCCACUAAGUCAAAUCAGUCUUCAUCCCGAAGGAUUCCGUCCAAAGUGCUUCGUUCGACUUGAAUGUGUUAUGCACGCCGCCAGCGUUCAUC